rnacentral:lncRNA from 1 species
UAACUAUAUCGUCACUAUAGCCACUAUUUUACAACACUGCCUUAAAAAAGUAUAGGAUAGUAUAACUACAACUGAAGACAAAGGCACACCUCAACCAUUGUAGAUUCCACCUCGAUGAUCAUAUUCUCAAACUUCUGGUAUAUAUUAUCAAACCAAGCCAUCAUAACGCACUUGUUAGAAUAUUAGUUAGAGCAAUCCAGUACUUGUAUGUCCGAUUUGAAGGCGGCGGUUCUAUCUGCUUACCUGACGAAAAAUCAUUGAGGGAAAUUCAACCAAUAUGCUUAAUUGAUGAUUUUUUUUUACUUCUAAGGGUCUAAAAGUACACUGAUCAGUGUUAUAACAAAGACAUAAAAUCAAUUCAUCAUGCCUAGUAUAAUAUUUCUACAUUUAUAUAGAGGAAUCAAGUUAUAAUCAAUUCUGGAGACAAAAUCAAUCGUCGUAACAUGCCUAGUGGUCAGAAAUUCCACAGUUCGAACCUCAUGUGUGCUCAAUUAUACUCCUCUAAAAGUGGAACCAACAUAUACACAAGGAUCCUCUCUUCGAUAAAUAAAACUAAAAACAUGCAAACUCCAAGUUUACUUGAUCAAAAUUUCCAUAAACAAGAGAAGCAGGGAGAUAAUAUAAUUUUGCCUAAGAAAAGGUUACAUACAUAACAUACACAAACACAAACAUAAAAACAAGCUUGUUAACAAAAAACAAAACCCAUUUAAAACAUCGCUAUAAUAUAAUUGAAAGUGCAACAAUAAAACCAAUAAUUGCAUCAGAGAACAGAGUUUACUUGUUGGCUUGUUGCAAGACAAACAGAGAAGAGAGAAGACUGAGCAAGUACAAAGUGAAGUAGAGUGAGAGGUGAUGCUUACAUUAGACAUGUGGAAUCGAAGUACUAUA